rnacentral:lncRNA from 1 species
CAGCGUUUCAGCGCAAAUUAAUCGGAUUGCACUCGGAUUAUUCUGGUGAACGCGACCAGUAGUGUUUAUGUGGCAGUGUAGGAACUUUACAACAUGUUUUAUUGGAAUGUACUAGGUUCCAAAGAGAGUCCCAGUUGCUUAGAAGGGAACUAGAAGAUUCAGGAGCUAUGAGCUUAAGCCCAGAUGUACCUCAGGUACGGCUCUUGAAUAUUCAAGUCUAUAUUCACGGAUCCUGGCCGGAUAGCCCUGGCAGCUAAGGCCAUUCAAAUGAAGAGAAGAAGAAGAAGGAAAAAAAAUUCCUACACAGUGGCGUUUUUCUAAUUUCUGUCAUUUUCAUGAAAUUGUUGGCUAGUAUCGAUUUUAUGAUCAAAUAUUUUAGUUAUAAGGAUCCUAACGGUUGAAAAUGACGUGAAAAAGUAACGAACAGUGGUAAUUUUUGGGGAUAUUGGUGAUUUUCUCAUAACUACGAGUUAAAAAUAUGAAAUUAUCUCAAAAGAGAAUAAGGCCAUGCGAAAAAUUUCGACG